rnacentral:rRNA from 1 species
UGGGGAAUUUUGGACAAUGGGCGAAAGCCUGAUCCAGCAAUGCCGCGUGUGUGAAGAAGGCCUUCGGGUUGUAAAGCACUUUUGUCCGGAAAGAAAUCCUUGGCUCUAAUACAGUCGGGGGAUGACGGUACCGGAAGAAUAAGCACCGGCUAACUACGUGCCAGCAGCCGCGGUAAUACGUAGGGUGCAAGCGUUAAUCGGAAUUACUGGGCGUAAAGCGUGCGCAGGCGGUUUGCUAAGACCGAUGUGAAAUCCCCGGGCUCAACCUGGGAACUGCAUUGGUGACUGGCAGGCUAGAGUAUGGCAGAGGGGGGUAGAAUUCCACGUGUAGCAGUGAAAUGCGUAGAGAUGUGGAGGAAUACCGAUGGCGAAGGCAGCCCCCUGGGCCAAUACUGACGCUCAUGCACGAAAGCGUGGGGAGCAAACAGAAUUAGAUACCCUGGUAGUCCACGCCCUAAACGAUGUCACUAGUUGUGGGGAUUCAUUUCCUUAGUAACGUAGCUAACGCGUGAAGUUGACCGCCUGGGGAGUACGGUCGCAAGAUUAAAACUCAAAUGAAUUGACGGGGU